AGAGUUGAUCCUGGCUCAGGACGAACGCUGGCGGCGUGCUUAACACGUGCAAGUCGAACGGGGAUAACAGAGAGGAGAGCUCGGCAGGAAUCGCUGUAUUCGAGUGGCGGACGGGUGAGUAACGCGUGAGCAACCUGUCCCAGACAGGGGGAUAACACUUGGAAACAGGUGCUAAUACCGCAUAGGACCACGGGAUCGCAUGGUUCUGGGGGUAAAAGGAGAAAUCCGGUUUGGGGUGGGCUCGCGUCCGAUUAGCCAGUUGGCGGGGUAACGGCCCACCAAAGCGACGAUCGGUAGCCGACCUGAGAGGGUGAUCGGCCACAUUGGAACUGAGAGACGGUCCAAACUCCUACGGGAGGCAGCAGUGGGGAAUAUUGGGCAAUGGGCGAAAGCCUGAACCCCAGCAACGCCGCGUGAGUGAAGAAGGCCUUCGGGUUAGUAAAGCUCUGUUAUAGUUGACGAAGUGCGUGACGGUAGGCUAUAAGGAACGCCCCGGCUAACUACGUGCCAGCCGCCGC
rnacentral:rRNA from 1 species